rnacentral:misc_RNA from 1 species
CUUGUAAAUAUUUAUUUCAAAGGAAGCCAAUAUAUUCUCGAACUCCACACUUAUUUCACAAUUUUAUUCUGCCGGAAACUUAUCAUACAGACAACAGAUUUUGUAUUCUGGGUGGCAGUUGAUCAAGCUUACAUGAAAUUCUCUCAACAAACUAGAAGCAUAAGGUUGUGGACUGUGGUACACUGAAGCAUAGAUAGGUAGGAUUACUAGAUUAGGUAUAAUAGAUUCAUUAGAUGGGUUCGUGGGAAACCCUAACUGGAAUGGGAACUAGAUAAUGGAUUAUCCACCAAAAUGCUGCAUUUCUAUAGUGUGGGAGGAAUCCAGAUAUAUCCGUGUGUUUGAACAUAACCAGCUUUUGCCAGCAGUUCAUCCCCUUCUGCAGGACCUCGGCUGCCUGGCUCAUAUGGGAUUGGCUUCAUUUCACCAUUGUCGAUCCUAUGCAGAAGAGGUGUAAAGAUCUCCCAUGCUGCCUUCAACUCAUCUCUGCGAACAAAAUGCUGCUGAUCGCCCCUGAUUCUGUAAAAUCAAAUUCCAUUCUCAGUUUCUCAUUAUCAUUUUUACUGUAUAUAUCACACUACAAUUAUGAAACUUUAUCUUUGUGUUUUAGCAUGUAUAGCCCUUCUAUGUUCAUUGGACUUCAAAGCAUUUCUCUAAUCAUACAAUCAAAGCAGCAUUAGUGGUUAUUGCAGCAGAAACAUGGCCUGCAUAAAUUAGGAUGGGAAUCAUACGUGUCAAGAAUUAGACGUUCAUAAGCCUCUGGAAUGGUAACACCUUGGUAUCGUUGCCCGUAUGACAAGUCCAGUUCACUUUGAGCAGUUGACAUCUCCAAUCCAGGCUGCUUGACCGUAAGUUUCAUGUAGAUAGCUUCUGAGGGUUGCAGGCGUAUUACAAACUCAUUUCUUCCUUGCUUUUUACCUAAAUCAUAAGAAACAAGUCAAGCAACAAAGCAAAAAGGAAUAUGCCAAAGCCAAAAACAUGUACAGGCCAAAAUAAAGAAUGCCACAGCAGCCAGCAGAAAUAAUUGCUCAUAAAGGUAAAAGAGUUUGAGAUAAAAACUAAUUGCAAAGCAUCCACUCAUUGAGUGCUAUUCUGCUUAUUGUGAGACACUGCAAUGUUCUAAAUUCAGAUUAUAUUGUUACUUCCUUCUCCCAAAUCUAACAUAGCCGCAGCACAAGUGCAAUGGAAACAGGAAAAUGCAGAAUUCUAAAGUUCCAGUGUCAUACACUUGAAUAUAUCACCAGGAACAUCCUUAAAUUGAACACGUAUCUCUGCCUUUCUUGAGUUUAAUGCUUUCCCUGCCUUUAAUAUAAAAGGAACGCCUUCCCAUCUUUCAUUAUGUAUGCGCAGAACAACAGUAGCAAAUGUUGGGGUGUUUGAAUGGUCAGGAACUGUUGGAUCAUCCCUAUAGCCUUCAUACUGUCCAAGAACAACCUCUUCAUCUUUGAUUGGAAGUACUGAUUGAAGAACCUGAAUUUCACCAGCAAUAAGAAUUGGCAUGAACAUGAUAAAUUUAGAAUCUACAGCACAAACUCUGAAGGAAGAUGUAGUAUAUUCACCGGAGUGGGAAAAUCCACACAGUUAGGUCCACUAAAGUUCUUUUAAUCCCUUAUGGAACCAACCUCUUGGUUCAGGAUCAACUUGUACUGACUACUGAGGGGUCUCAGGCCAUAUGUUUUGGAAUGAAAAAUACAAGGCUGCUGAUACCUUAAGUUUGUAGAGUGAAAAGAACACAAACCUUCACUUUCUCAUCUCGAAUGUGCUCAGGUUUUAGAGAGAUGGGUUUCUCCAUGGCAACCAGGCAAAGAACCUGCAAUAGGUGGUUUUGAAUGAUAUCACGGAUGAUACCGUAUUCAUCAAAAUAUCCACCACGUCCUUCCGUUCCAAAAUCCUCCCGGAACACAAUCUGUACAUUAUCGAUGUUGUCACGAUUCCAAAGGGGUAGAAAGAAGCGAUUUGCAAAACGAAGUACCAACAUGUUCUGCACCAAUUCUUUUCCCAAAUAGUGAUCAAUGCGGUAAAUUUGUGGUUCCUCAAACAACUCUCCAAUCUGAGCACUAAGUCGUUCUGAAGAUUCCAAAUCCUUGCCAAAAGGCUUUUCGACAACAAUCCGAGUCCAUCCACCAAAAUCAGAUUUAUUCAUGCAACAUUUUUUUAUCAUCUUGCAGACAAUUGGAUAUACUGAUGGCGGAAGUGCAAAAUAAAAUAGUCUACGAGAGGAUCCUUCUGCGCUAUUUUUGGCUAAUUCAUGCUCUGAAAUUUCCUUAUCCAACAGCUGAAAACCCUCCUCAGUAUCAUAAGAACCACUUACAUAUUUGAUCAACUGUAAGAACUUUGAUACAUCUUCUGAGUGCCCAGGUGAUGCAUCUUUGCCAAGAUAUCCACGAAUACGAUUUCCGAGCUCAUCGUCUGAAAUCUUAGUCCUUGCAUACCCAAAAAUAUGAACUUCAUUUGAUUGCAGAAAACCCUGGCGGUAAAGAUUAAAGAGAGCAGGGAAAGUCUUCUUCUUGGCGAGAUCACCAGAGGCACCAAGCACAAUAAUGGAAAGGCACCCAGUUUCUGGCACAUUCUCGUAUUCUUUAGAAAAUGAAUCACUUCUAAAACUAGAUCUCUUCUCCAUUAACCACUGACCCGAACCCAUUUUCUACCUCGUUACAGAGUCUUUGAAUCAAAAUUUGGCUUCCAAACAAAGGUCCCCUGGGAGCUGGAGAGUCAGAGAGAGAUAUUUGAUGUCAAAUACAGAGGAAGAGAGCUACUUGAAUUCAAUGUUUUGAAAAGUGGUUCACAAUUUGCUCUGAUUUUUGUUGCGGUUGAAUUCCCCACCAAACUCUUCUUGUCUGGUAUGAAAUUUUGAGUUACAUCAUUACCAUCGCCAGCUGCCGAAGACUGUACUUUUUUCACACAAAACUCCCUGUGUUUCCUGUUUAUUUCAACUUGUGCUCAGCUCUGCAAAAGAGAAUUCAAUUGCAUCCCAUGAAUGAUUUU